rnacentral:rRNA from 1 species
GACGAACGCUGGCGGCGUGCUUAACACAUGCAAGUCGAGCGGUAAGGCCCUUCGGGGUACACGAGCGGCGAACGGGUGAGUAACACGUGAGUCAUCUGACUAUCACUUCGGGAUAACUCCGGGAAACCGGUGCUAAUACCGAAAAAGACCACUUCAUGCACCUGAUGGUGGUGUAAAGUCCCGGCGGUGUUGGAUGAGCUCGCGGCCUAUCAGCUUGACGGUGGGGUAGUGGCCUACCAGGGCUUCGACGAGUAGCCGGCCUGAGCGGGUGACCGGCCACGGUGGGACUGGGACACAGCCCAGACUCAUACGGGGGGCAGCGGUGGGAAAGGGGAAUCAAGGAGAAAGAGCGUAAUCCAGAAGCGCCGCGUGAGGGAUAACGGCCUGCGGGUUGUGUACCUAUUUCCGCUGGGACGAAGAGCAAGUGACGGUACCUGAAGAAGAAGCACCGGCUAACUACGUG